AAACAUGUCAUCGUCAGAGGGGCAUAAUGGUAUCCUAGGCAGGAAAACUCGCGUUCCAGAGUGUUGUCCCACCACAAUCUCUGCGUCAAUUGUAUUUUUUUGAAAUCCGCGCACGACCAACCUCGUGCCGUUGCAUAGUCCAUUAGCAGGGUCGAUGUUCCUGAGUAGUAUGAUUGGGCAAUUAAUUUUGAGCUUCAACAUAUGUGGAGGCAGUUCAUUUGGGGUGAGAGUGUUUAGGAAUUCUGGUGGAUAGUAGUUAUGUGGGUCGUCUUCUACCGAAUCGAAGCUGUGGUACACCAUCUCCUCCCCUUGGAAGCGAUCAAUCAUUUUUAGGUUGAUCUUGUCUACGGAGUCGUUCCUUGUUGAUAGAAUUGCUCUUGACGUGAUGUACUUUGGAUCUUUUAGGGAAGCAUUGUCCGUUUGGUAGACACUGUCGAUGAGCAUAUCCAGGCCAUUGUCAUCUGUCUUAUUUGCCACACAUAUACUUGUUGGUAGUAGUAUUUCACCAUCUUCAUUUGUCUCCUCUGUUCCGUUUCCAAUGCGUAAGAGGUAUUCCGCGAACCAGUUGUCGUUUUGAGCCCUCAUGUUGCGCACGAGCUUCAGUUGACUCAUUGAACUCCAGAGCUCGGACCUGCGUAGUGAUGCAUCUACUGUCUGGGCUCUUGUUCCCUUUUGAACAACAGGUAGUACUUGCCUAAAAUCGCCUCCAAAUACUAUUGUUUUUCCACCAAAUGGAAGGUCUGGUCUGUCCAUUAUGUCCCGCAUGCUUUUGUCUAACGCCUCCACUGUCUGCCUCUUGGUCAUGGAUGCUUCAUCCCAGAUUAUCAGUGAUGCUGCUUUGAGUAGCUUGGCUGUCCCACUCUGUUUGGUGAAUCCACAAAUAGCCCCGUCAUCUAUUUUUAGUGGAAUCUUGAACCUCGAGUGUGCGGUCCUCCCUCCAGGCAUUAUGGAAGCAGCAACACCGGAAGUGGCUGUCGCCACAGCAAUCUUGCCUUGUCCGCGUAUUGUUGCCAAGAGCGCCCUGUAAAGAAAAGUCUUUCCCGUGCCUCCAGGUCCAUCGACAAAGAAUAUACCUCCUCUUUGGCGGUCAAUUGUGGCUAGGAUUUCAUCGUAGGCCUCCUUCUGCUCCUUGUUUAGGUUCUUAUGCAAAGAUGCAUCCUCGGGUUCCACCUCGAUGGAGGUCUCCUCGAUGAUCUCCCUCGAACCAUCUGUUCGACUGUGUGCUUGCAUUUGCAAUUUCUGCUGUAGUCCUCUGACAUUGCCUCAAGGUGCUUGUUCCAGAGGCUACGUACGUCGCUGGGUUCGCAAAAAACCAAGAUUGUCGCAAAUAGCCUUCGCAGCGAUGAUGGCAUUCUAAACAACUCCGCUUCUGUCAUGCAGUCGUCCAAUGUGCUAUCUGCCUCAAUGAGCCCUCUUUUUUCUGCAGCUUCACGAAAGGUUGGCAUUACUUGUCCAUCGACUGUUCGUAGGUCUUCGUAGCCGGUGGCGCCUGUCACGUGGUUUAGGAGGACCCGAAGAUAGUAUCGUUCUCCUUCGGCCGGGUGUGCUGCGACGAUCCUGCCAACCUGGAACACAGCGGCUCGCUUCCUUGGUUGCCAAAACUUCCCCUGACUCUGCCACUUAUAAUGUUCCGGAAAAUCUCUGUAUAGUAUGCCUCGUGCUUUCUCAUGUGAGCUGUUUGCUUCAAAGUACGCAAUUAACAUUGAUCUUUCCGUGCCUUCACGGUCGAUAACAUUCUGUAUUUUCUCCAUGGCAUGAUAUGAAACCAUGUGCAUAUUUGGGAGAUGCAGCUGCAGUUGCAAGACUGGUGGGUGCAUUUUGCUUAGUUCGAAGCCAUAUAUUCUCCACAGUGCUUCAGGAGGUGUCACCCACCGGGCGUCUCUGUACUGCUUAAUCUCGUCGAUUUCGACUUCCUCUACUUUGUCAGUUACAGAUACAGAUGCUCGGUCGUGGCCCUUGUAGAUGUACUUGAAGAGAUACUUAACGGCUUUAAUGCUUGAGCAUAUCUCAACAUUUAUGUGGCAGUUGAACAUUCUUAACAGAUAGGGAUUGUAAGGAACCACCCACCUGUUAUCUAAUGUGCAAUUUCGGACCAUUUCAGUCCGUCCGUCGUCGCGCCUCCUAUAUAUUGGGUAGGUGUCCUUGCCUUGAAUCGUAGUUUCGUUAAAUGGCCUUGGAUAAUUGUUCUUGCAUGACGGACGAUUCUUUGUGCAUGGACACAAUUUGUUCAAUGCACCGCAAGGACCAUGCAUCAUAUGUUUGAUUACCAUUUUGUAUAGUUCUGGGUACUUGUGCUUGUUAGGGAGCUCGGCGGAGAUGAUUCUGUCAUACUGCUCUGGACAUGUGUACUUGUAUCUUCCAGUCAUGAUGAGCAAAAAGUGAGCAUGGGGUAAUCCCCUCUUUUGGAACUCUACGACAUAUGUAUAUGCCUGAACCUUUCCAAGAAUGCCCUUCUCGAAUAGUUGUUGCUUCAUUUCUUGUAGCUUCGCCCUAAAAACACGAACGACAAUGUCUGGGCGAUCUUGUGGUGUUUGUCCAGUCUCUAGUUCACGUGUGAUCUCCUCCCAGUUGGGGUUGCAGGUCAUUGUUAGGAAUAUGUCUGGCUUUCCAUAUUUUCUAACUAAAGCCAUAGCGUCGAGAUACCGACGAAGUCUAUCUCGUGGCCCUCCAAUAAAUGACGAGGCAAGUACUCUCCAUUUUCCAACUGCAUCUCCAUUCUGUUCUCCAGCUUGAAUGCUGUCUAGAAGGCCUUGGUAUAGGUCAGCCCUUAUUUUCUUUUGAUUGUGCCAGAUGUAAUCCAGUCUGGAGCUUUCAAUCUUGAUGUAUGUAUCUACAGCAAACUGCUGGAAUAGGCGUCCGCCAUGCAAAAUUGGGUUGAAUAUGCCUGGUCGUGUAUGGAAUUUAUAGCAGUAGUAUUCUUUCAUUGUUACCCAUAGGCCACUGUUCGAAUCUGUGCAAAUAUUGCAACAUAAAAAGUUAGUUGCAUAGGUGGUAGUAUAUGAAAAUUGAAUUUGAAUGUAAUAGUAUUUGAAUUUUUUACCUGGGUCAUCAUCAUUACUGAUAUUUUCAGCACGAAUAUCUUCCUGUCGUGUUUCCCUCUUCGGGAUUUUCCUAUGCCAACCCAGUUCAGCUCUUGGAAAGAAUAGAGGAUACGAUAACGGAUCAUAGCACCCGUAAUAUGAUCGAAUGAUCUCUUUUUCGUUGUUGUUCCCAUGUAAUAUUACAUUUCUGUCAUAAGUAUCUCUUCUUUCAUUUCCUUCAAUCCACACUGCAGCUACCUCCGAAUUGAUUGGCUCGUUGUAUGUUCUUUGGUCCAAUCUCUGGUCAAGGUUCAAGAUCAGUCUGUAGUCCUCAAGGUUUUGGGCUUGUCCCAAACUCCUAAACUGCUGAGAGUACGGGUUACCGUGUAGUAUGUCUGUUAUUAUUGCCAUCACAUGCUUGUCUUGCUCGGACAUUUCCUCACGACAACAGUGGUAUCGAUGCUCUAAGCUUGGAUCAUCGUCGUAGAAGUAUAGUUCUAGAUGCUUUGGAUCUAAGUGACUAUUACCAAAUGAGUGUAUGUUGUGAUAUAUUUGACCAUGUGCUCGAAAGGUGUAAAUACCGGCCGUUCGCAUGUCUGUUGUAUCUCUGUCGAGCUGGCAGAUAGUGUAGUAAACGAGAAGUGCCCAUUGAAAAAUCUUAUAUUUUGCCGAAAAUGUCUUGCAUCAGAGUCGUUGCUUGUCCAAAGCCUCAUAAGUUCCGGUGGUGUAUUUGGAUUGGCUAGCCUUAUUUGUCCUUUUUUGCAGCAUAAUCCCGGACUUUCAUACUUGAAUUUGGUUGCAUGGCAGAAAUCGCAAUCUUCUUCUUUUUCGAGCAUGUUUGUGCUUGUUGGUAUGUUGCUGUAGAUGAGAUCAUAUGGAUCAGGGUUGAGGUCUUCCUCGCCUUCUAUGAUUUCAAUUUCCACUUCUCUGUCCCACUCUGAUUUGAUAUACAACAUAUUUAAUUUGAAUGAUAUUAUUCGUGCAUCCACUUCUUUGAUUGCUGGAAGCAUUGAGGAGGGUAUGUCUGGCCAGAGAGCCACUUUACCUUGAUCAUCAUUGUAUAAUGGUUGUGUUUGUUCAUCUGUUUCUCUGAUGCUUGGAAACAUUGAGGAGGGGAUGUCUGUCCAGGAAAGAUGGUUAGUUGUACAUACAGGUUUAUAUUUACUUAGAGUUCGAGUAUUAUAUAAACUUGAGAUUAUUACCGUAAGUCAUGACUUGUGGUUGCUCCAGAGGUUCUUUGUUUUCGUCGGUGUUUUUCGUCAUGGAUGCAUCUUCUUUUGAUGAUACGGAACCAGUUUGCCUCCGUUUUCUCAUGAAUUGUUCGUUACGAUGGUGUAGCAAUGUUUGCCUUUUUCCUGCUGCCACAUGAUCCCUGUGUUUUACAGCCAACGUAGAAGUACUAACCUCUUGUUCGGUUGCGACAUACUCAGGGUUUUCCAUUGCAAGUGAAUCUUUGCAUGGUGUGCUCCGUUCCAUUUGACGGCGAGCUUUUCUUUGUUCUACUCUUGCUUUCUUUUGAACUGGCUGCAAGUUUGCAUAUUUUUGUUUUUCAUGUGUGCAAUGUGCUGCCUUCUGUUCUGCUGUCUUCCCUGAAUCUUUCUUUUGAUGAUAGGCCUCACGGCGUUUUUUGAGUUUGUCCUGCCUUUCUUCAUCGGUCAUGCGUUCAUUCCGCUCUUUAUACCGCUCUUGAUCUCUCUUUCUUUUUUGUUCCUUAGCAUUUUUCAAUUUCUCCUGCCUUUCUUCAUUGGUCAUCCGUUCAUAUCGCUCGGUAUCUCUUUUUCUUCUUUUCUCCUUCGCAUCCAUGGCUUGCCUGCAUCAAAGUACAAAGCUAGCUAGCCUUUAUAUAUGUAUCACCACAGGUCUUGAGCUCUAGAAAAUGGUGGAAAGAAUUAUUUAUCAAGUUACAUGAAAUAAAACUGCUACAGAGAGUCAAGGGUACUUGGUCCUUUCUUAUUUUGUGUUGUUCUGUCCAUUCUAGAAUUAUAUUAGUGAUAUCUUUUUGGUGAUUUCUGCGGAAAUUUUAAGCUUCUUAUCAUUUCUAUUGUUUUCUUCAAAAGAGAAUUAUUUGAUUUGCAUUUCAGUUAGCAAAAUUAAGUAUGAGAGGGAUUUAUUAUAAGUAAUAAACAGUAUUCUAAAUAUGCAUCCGUGCAGUUGGAGCCUUCAUGGACUGGAUAUCUAGGCCCUGUUCGGUACCACUCCGCUCCACAACUCCGGUAGCAGAGUUGGCGGAGCUGCAGUUCAAAACGGCGGAGGUGCACUUCCCCCGCUCUGCACAUUCCGGGAGCGGGCGACUGCCGAACAUGGCCCUAAUAUUGUGAAACCGACUGUUCACUUUCCCAUAUCUAUAUGAUGAUGUAGAUAUAUUUAGGAAUAUAUAAAAUCCAUGACCUGAUCCAUGUAUUUACAAGAGUUACCCAACAUGCAGUAGUAGGACAUGCAUAUUCUCAGUAAUUUUGAGUUAUAUCGAUUGUACUCCUUCGCUGAUCAGCAUGUAAUCACUCUAAGACUGUACGAUUAAUUGUUUUAUUCUAAUGAAAUUGCAAUAGCAGGACA